rnacentral:rRNA from 1 species
GACGAACGCUGGCGGCGUGCUUAACACAUGCAAGUCGAACGAAAAGAGGGAAAGAGCUUGCUCUUUCCGGAAUUGAGUGGCAAACGGGUGAGUAACACGUAAACAACCUGCCUUCAGGAUGGGGACAACAGACGGAAACGACUGCUAAUACCGAAUAAGUUCCAAGAGCCGCAUGGCCCAUGGAAGAAAAGGUGGCCUCUACCUGUAAGCUAUCGCCUGAAGAGGGGUUUGCGUCUGAUUAGCUGGUUGGAGGGGUAACGGCCCACCAAGGCGACGAUCAGUAGCCGGUCUGAGAGGAUGAACGGCCACACUGGAACUGAGACACGGGCCAGACUCCUACGGGAGGCAGCAGUGGGGAAUCUUCCGCAAUGGGCGAAAGCCUGACGGAGCAACGCCGCGUGAGUGAUGACGGCCUUCGGGUUGUAAAACUCUGUGAUCCGGGACGAAAAGGCAGAGUGCGAAGAACAAACUGCAUUGACGGUACCGGAAAAGCAAGCCACGGCUAACUACGUG